rnacentral:sRNA from 1 species
ACACAGUUAUUGUUAUACUUUAAAUGUCUUCUGUGAGGGAAGCCAGCUACUUCUAAUUGCCAGCUAACAGAUGAGACAGGAUGUGUUCUCACCUCCGUUCGCGGGAAAUUAGGACCCGGGCUAGAAGUUCUUCUCUGACCAGAAAGAUAGGCCGUCAGUGUCGUUUGAUCGGAGACGACAUGACAGAAAGGUACCAGACAAACAGAAGACAGAACUUUCAUUUCGAGGCUCCCCGCCUGAACAUCGACCCCUCUGUUAUCUUUGUGGGUCUGGUGACUUCUUUGCAUCUGUUGGUUAUUCUUUCACGGAAUGGUUGACAUUUUUUAUGAAGAUACUGAAGAGAGAAAAAAAGGAGUGAAUGAAUAUCCAACUACUAUAUCUACAAGAUAGCGAGCGAGAGAAAAUAUCAAGCCAUGAAACAAACUUUUGACAAUGAAUUGAUACCUUUUCUCUACUCUCCGAAACAAGGUUUCAUUACAUAUCUUAAGACAUAUUGUUCAUCAAUUAAUUCGAUCAUUUAGGUAAAGUAUAUGGAAAAUCUCUUUUUUUUUUGUCCGAAAGACAGUGCGCGAUUUGCGAUAGUCUUACAUGAUGAUAUGAUAGUUAAAGUACAUUUACACUUGUAUUGAAAAAUCGAACGUUUUAUGCCAAAAGACUGACAGUCAUUCAGAAGACUUUUGGAGACCGCCGAGAGUGUGUUCAGACUUGUAUAUAUGCAUCUUAUUUGUAUUUGAUGGCAUUAUGUGGAUUUACAUUGAUGUGUUCAUGUUAUUAUUAUACAAAAUAUUGUUCAAUGUUUGAAUGAGAAUAUUUGUGAAUGUAAUAAAAUAAUUGUCGAACUUU